GUGUGUGUGUGUGUGUGUGUGUGUGUGUGUAUUCAUAUGGCUGUUUACUCAAUUGGAAAAGUGUCAUCUCAUAGCAUUGGUACAUUCAAGACACAUUUAUGCAUGAACUACUAUCGUCCUAGCAAUGAUGAGCUAGAGGAUAAUUUCUUGGACAAGAAACUCCUAUCUUUGCCUCAUUUGAUUCUAGUGUAUAUAUUGAGUAACUGGUAUUUUAUUGGGGUGGACAAGGUCUGUGACUGUUGUUGUCGACAAGAACUGUCUGGCUUGCUGCAUUCUGGGUGUUCUGACCAUUACUGAUGGCCAUGUGAAGUAUGGUAUAUGUUAGUCUGCAUGUUAAUGUGGCAGCUAUGGCAGAAUCUAACAUGUGUGGCUGUACUUAGAAAUGUGAGAGUGUUACCUGGGCCAUCAAGCUACACCUGGUACUGAAAUAAUCCAGGUAGCCAAGCAUGGUGUUUGGCCUUUUGUUGGCUAUGCCACAUUACUGGUUGAUGACACUUGAAAGACACCAUGUAUUUGAGACAACAGCAAAAUCAACAUGGUCCUUAAUACUUCUAAAAUGAUCUGUUGCCAGCCAGCUGACAGUUGUUUGGCUGAAAUUCUUUGUCAACAUUAUUAAUUAACAAUGAGUUGAUGUCUGCUACUUGUUAUGAGUUCAUUUGAAGCCAUGCUCUAACUAGAAGAAGG